AAGUCGUAACAAGGUUUCCGUAGGUGAACCUGCGGAAGGAUCAUUAACGAAUUUUAAAAGGUUGUUUGCUGGCCCUUCCGGGGGCAUCGUGCACGCCUUUUCAUCUUCGAUCCCUCUCACACCUGUGCACUUUUAAGUAGGCCAGAUUCGAACGUCUCUGGCCUAUGUCACUUUUUUUCUACAAACACCAUAUAAAAAGUUCAGAACGUAUAGAUGUAUGCGGGGUUUUCAAGCCCCUAUAAAAGAAAUAUACAACUUUCAACAACGGAUCUCUUGGCUCUC
rnacentral:misc_RNA from 1 species